AUUGAACGCUGGCGGCAGGCCUAACACAUGCAAGUCGAGCGGAUGAAGGGAGCUUGCUCCUGGAUUCAGCGGCGGACGGGUGAGUAAUGCAUAGGAAUAUGCCUGGUAGUGGGGGAUAACGUCCGGAGACGGGCGCUACUACCGCAUACGUCCUGAGGGUGAAAGAGGGGGAUCUUCGGACCUCACGCUAUCAGAUGAGCCUAGGCCGGAUUAGCUAGUUGGUGGGGUAAAGGCCUACCAAGGCGACGAUCCGUAACUGGUCUGAGAGGAUGAUCAGUCACACUGGAACGGGAACACGGACCAGACGCCUACGGGAGGCAGCAGUGUGGAAUAUUGGACAAUGGUCGAAAGCCUGAUCCAGCCAUGCCGCGUGUGUGAAGAAGGUCUUCGGAUUGUAAAGCACGUUAAGGUGGGAGGAAGGGCAGUAAGUUAAUACCUUGCUGGUGUGACGUUACCGACAGAAUAAGCACCGGCUAACUUCGUG
rnacentral:rRNA from 1 species